rnacentral:lncRNA from 1 species
UCUUAAGUUUGUUUGUGUCAUGAUUCUAUUUAUUUCCUUAUUUCUCAUCGCAACGAAAUUUGGUGUUGGUAAGCCAUUCCUUUUAUUCUUUUCAAAUUUCUUUCUUUACUUUGUAGCUCGUACACAAUCAUUUAAUAGUAGCAUUAUUUUCUUGACUUUUUUUCUUUUCUUAUUACAGCACGUGAUAAAUGUCAAAUUGAUGCUGAUUGUCCAAAAAGUGGGAACUUGUUUUAUAUUUAUAAACUAGUUAGAAGCACGGGUUCAAUAACAUAUUUGAUAAAAAAAUUCUUUGAAAGAAGAGAUGUUAAAACGAAGGAACAUCGUGAUUCAUCAUAAAAUAUGUAUGGACUGAUUAAGAGAGCAUAUAAUCAGUUUAUGAGAUUAGGAAUUGACAUAAUAUUUAGGAUGAAAACUAUUGGAACCAAUAAAGGAAUCAAUGAUGUGUGAAUUUACAUAUUAUCCAAAA